CCCUUAGAUGUUCUGGGCCGCACGCGCGCUACACUGAUGCAUUCAACGAGUCUAAAACCUGGUCUGAGAGGGCUGGGUAAUCUUUUGAAGGUGCAUCGUGAUUGGGAUAGAUGAUUGCAAUUCUUCAUCUUCAACGAGGAAUGCCUAGUAAACGCAAGUCAUCAGCUUGCAUUGAUUACGUCCCUGCCCUUUGUACACACCGCCCGUCGCUCCUACCGAUUGAACGAUCCGAUGAAAACUGUGGAUUGAGAGUCUGAGUGGGUUCGCCUACCUCAACUUUCGAGAAGCGGUUUAAAUCUUAUCGUUUAGAGGAAGGAGAAGUCGUAACA
rnacentral:rRNA from 1 species